rnacentral:rRNA from 1 species
UAAGGAAUAUUGCGCAAUGGGGGAAACCCUGACGCAGCAACGCCGCGUGGAGGAUGACACUUUUCGGAGCGUAAACUCCUUUUAUCAGGAAAGAAUAAUGACGGUACCUGAUGAAUAAGCACCGGCUAACUCCGUGCCAGCAGCCGCGGUAAUACGGGGGGUGCAAGCGUUACUCGGAAUCACUGGGCGUAAAGGACGCGUAGGCGGAUUAUCAAGUCUUUUGUGAAAUCUAGUGGCUUAACCACUAAACUGCUUAGGAAACUGAUAGGCCAGAGUAGGGGAGAGGUAGAUGGAAUUCUUGGUGUAGCGGUAAAAUCCGUAGAGAUCAAGAAGAAUACCCAUUGCGAAAGCGAUCUGCUGGAACCUAACUGACGCUGAGGCGUGAAAGCGUGGGUAGCAAACAGG